rnacentral:rRNA from 1 species
UACGUAGGGUGCGAGCGUUAAUCGGAAUUACUGGGCGUAAAGCGUGCGUAGGCGGUUCCUCAAGUCCGUUGUGAAGGCCCCGGGCUCAACCUGGGAAUGGCAGUGGAAACUAGGGGACUGGAAUCUGGCAGAGGGGGGUGGAAUGCCGCGUGUAGCAGUGAAAUGCGUAGAGAUGCGGCGGAACACCGAUGGCGAAGGCAGCCCCCUGGGCUGAGAUUGACGCUCAGGCACGAAAGCGUGGGGAGCAAACAGG